rnacentral:lncRNA from 1 species
AUAAAUGAUGUUACUAUUCAAUAUGCCAGUGAUGCUGGUUAGAUUAGGUACUUCCCAAUAGCAGUUGUUACCUCUUUCACAUGUUCCAGCAGGGUCUAUUGGAAACAGCUUCUCAGCCCUUCUAGGGUAUAUCUUACCUUACUCAGACCCAACUUGUGGGAAAUGACUGGGUUUGUUGUUGUUGUUGUACCUCUUUCACAUGUUCCAGCAGGGUCUAUUGGAAACAGCUUCUCAGCCCUUCAAGGGUACAUCUUACCUUACUCAGACCCAACUUGUGGGAAAUGACUGGGUUUGUUGUUGUUGUUGUACCUCUUUCACAUGUUCCAGGUGUUCGGUUUCUCUGUUGUUGUAAUUGACAAUUGGUUAUUGUUGUUGUAACUGUUUUUUUUUUUUUUUGACAUAUCCUGUAUUUAAUCAAGUAAUUAGUACCAUUGAGGAUUUGAACAGAAGAUUGGUUUGUUUUACAUAACAUAAUGAU